GGAAAACAGACAUGUAUGCAUACAUAGCAUCUGGCAUAUAUACAAAUAUAUGUGUCACAUAUAUUUGCAUAUGAUUUCAGCUACAGUCAUCGAGGAUCCCUCUGCUCUAGAGAUGGAUUGACUUAUGCUUUGAUUGAUUUAUUUAAGUGAUGUUUACCUUAACCGGUUGUAGACUGGUGGAGAAAACCCAGAAGGUAGAGAAUCCAUCAGUCUCAUUUGCCUCUUCUUUCCCCCUUAUUCCUCUUCUCACAAAAGGCAAGAGUGUUCAGAAGAAACAAGCAGAGAGUAAAAGCCAGAUAAAGGUAAUGCACACACUUCAGUAACACCCACUGGAGCUUGCUGAGCAGUGCCAAGUGUGGCCAUGGAGGGGCAUAGUGGGGUGGGCCUUGUCCCCAAGUCCCUCUUUGGAGUGCCUUUCCUGAUGGUGAGUCCCUAGGCUCCCAGGCAAAGCCCUGGAUCUCGUGUACAGCCUCAUUCCUCAUGGUGCCAGGUAGCACCUGUUGCCAGAGCUGGGAAGCAGACCCUCUCCUCCAUGACAAGGAUGGCCAUGAGAGUGUCCUCCCUCAGCCUCUCUUUCUCAUGUCACUCCUGUCUCCCCUCCCCUCUGCUCUCUUCCCAGCUCCAUACUCAGAGUGCUCCCUUUGGACUGUGUCCCAAGGGCCUGAUGCUCACCCAGGCUCCAAGCUCCAUCGUGAGGUCCAGGAACAGCAGGAACCACACCAUGAACUCUGGUGGAUCCUGCCUGAGUGCCAGCACAGUGGCCAUCCCUGCCAUCAACGACAGCAGUGCAGCCAUGAGUGCCUGCAGCACCAUCAGCGCCCAGCCUGCAAGCUCCAUGGACACUCAGAUGCACUCCCCAAAGAAGCAGGAGAGAGUGAACAAGAGGGUCAUCUGGGGCAUUGAGGUGGCUGAGGAGCUGCAUUGGAAAGGCUGGGAGCUAGGAAAGGAGACCACAAGGAAUCUGGUUCUGAAAAAUCGAUCCUUGAAACUCCAGAAGAUGAAGUACAGGUAAAUGCCCCCUUCAGGAUUGAAAUUUCCUCAGAUGAACUGGCCGAAGACCAGGCCUUCUCAUGCCCCACGGCCCAUGGCAUCGUGCUUCCGGGAGAGAAGAAAUGUGUGUCAGUGUUCUUCCACCCCAAGACUCUGGACACCAGAACUGUGGACUACUGCUCCAUCAUGCCUUCUGGCUGUGCCUCCAAGACCCUGCUUAAAGUCGUUGGUUUCUGUAGAGGUACUGGUGACCCCAGGGGCCUCCCCUGGGGACAGGAGCAGCCCCUGCUGAGGAUUCUGAAGAGCUCCUUCCCUGCUCCUAGGAGGCGGGGCCACCUUGCCUCAGCCUGGGUGUCUGCUGCCCCCUGGUGGCCCUAUGGGGAAUCAUCUGUGACUACCUGGAGAUCCCAGUCCCACCGGCAUCCAGUGAUGCUGGAGUUCUGCUCAGGCUGCCAGGGCUCUGGGCCUGUAGCCUGGCCCUGAGAGUACCACCUCCCUUCAGUGGGACUUUGUCUAAGACAUCCUUGGGGAAGCUGAUACCCCAUAUCCUGUGUCCAGGCCCUGCCGUGUCCCUGCAGCACUACUGUGUCAACUUUAGCUGGGUCAACCUUGGGGAGCGCUCCGAGCAGCCCCUGUGGAUUGAGAACCAAUCAGACUGCACGGCCCACUUCCAGUUUGCCAUCGACUGCUUGGAGAGUGUCUUUAGCAUCAGGCCUGCCUUUGGGACCCUGGUGGGCAAGGCCCGUAUGACCCUCCACUGUGCCUUCCAGCCCACUCACCCCAUCAUCUGCUUUCGGCGUGUGGCCUGUCUUAUCCACCACCAGGACCCGCUGUUCCUGGACCUGAUGGGGACCUGCCACUCGGACAGCACCAAGCCAGCCAUCCUGAAGCCUCAGCACCUCACCUGGUACCGCACACACCUGGCCCGGGGCCUGACGCUCUACCCCCCUGACAUCCUGGAUGCCAUGCUGAAGGAGAAGAAGCUGGCACAGGACCAGAACGGGGCUCUCAUGAUUCCCAUCCAGGAUCUGGAGGACAUGCCAGCCCCGCAGUACCCUUAUAUCCCUCCCAUGACCGAGUUCUUCUUCGACGGCACCAGCGACAUAACCAUCUUCCCCCCGCCCGUCAGUAUAGAGCCUGUCGAGGUAGACUUCGGUGCCUGCCCAGGGCCUGAGGCCCCCAACCCUGUACCCCUGUGCCUGAUGAACCACACCAAGGGCAAGAUCAUGGUGGUCUGGACGCGAAGGUCUGACUGCCCCUUCUGGGUGACUCCAGAGAGCUGCGACGUGCCCCCACUCAAGUCCAUGGCCAUGCGCCUGCACUUCCAGCCGCCUCACCCCAACUGCCUUUACGCGGUGGAGCUCGAAGCCUUCGCCAUCUAUAAGGUGUGUGCACGCAAUGAGAGGGAGGAAUGCGGGGUCUCUGCUAGGAGCCUGAGUGGCUGGGUGGGGUGGCAGGAAGUGACCGAGGGCAGCUUCAGGCUCCAUCCUCUGCGUGCCAGGCUUUCUCUUGGCUGGACAGUGACCCCUAUGGGUUUGUCUCCUCCAAAGCUCCUGGCCUAGCUCGGCCCAUCUGAUUUUCUCAUUCUUAUGUAAGUCUCCCCUCCCCUCUAAGGGAGAACUCAGCUGAGAUCAAGCUGUUUGGGAAAAUUGGGUGCACAGGGAGAUUCUCCCUGGGGCUCCUGGCUAGGAGGCCUCCUAGCUUCUCUACUAGUCCUUGAAUUAAGAAGUGGUCACUCUAAAGGAGCUUUGAGCGGGCAGGAAGCUGGGCCUAGAGACAAAGUCAGCAGCACCAGAUAAUUGUGAUGGAAAGGGCUUCUGACUCAGCUUCCCUGGGUCGGGAACUCCGAGUGCCGGCUGUCCCCAGCCCUGCUGUUCUGGCCCCAGAUGCAUGGUGCCCCCUCCUCAUCCUUUAGUCCUGCCCAUCCCUUCCUUCUUGACUCUGCCCACCCCACUGCCCUUGCCCAGAGGCCAAGGUCUUGGGACCCAGAGAAAAGUAGGGCUGUGCGGUCAAGAUCAGGGUCACUUACCAGCUAUGUGACCUUGGGCAAGUUCCUUAAUGUCUCUGAGUCCUGAUCUUUUCAUCUGUAAACUUGGGACCACGUCCGAUCUUUUGAGGAGGCUUUCCAAAGUGGAGGCUUUAGUUGCCCCCGUCCUAAUGCCUUGGCAGUGGGGUGAUGUCGAGGUUUGUAGGAAUAAGGUUGUAGAUGCCUGGCUCUGCUGAGGCUGAGCCUGUCAGAUAUUUAGGUUACAGGCUGUAGACCUGCACAGUCCAGUACAGCCACUGACAGCCACACGUGGCUACUGAGCUUUUAAUAUGUGGCUGGUCCCAAUUGAGACGUGCCGUGAGUGUAAAAUGCACCCUGGAUUUCAAAGACUUAGUAUGAAAA
rnacentral:sRNA from 1 species